UACGUAGGGUGCAAGCGUUGUCCGGAAUUAUUGGGCGUAAAGAGCUCGUAGGCGGUCUGUCGCGUCGGAUGUGAAAACCCAGGGCUCAACCCUGGGCCUGCAUUCGAUACGGGCAGACUAGAGUUCGGUAGGGGAGACUGGAAUUCCUGGUGUAGCGGUGAAAUGCGCAGAUAUCAGGAAGAACACCCGUGGCGAAGGCGGCUCUCUGGGACGGUACUGACGCUGAGACGCGAAAGCGUUGGGGAGCGAACAGG
rnacentral:rRNA from 1 species